rnacentral:sRNA from 1 species
CUUGGUCAUUUAGAGGAAGUAAAAGUCGUAACAAGGUUUCCGUAGGUGAACCUGCGGAAGGAUCAUUCAUAAUAAGUGUUUUAUGGCACUUUUUAAAUCCAUAUCCACCUUGUGUGCAAUGUCAGUCGAUCUUCUUCAUGGAGAUCGACCAAACAUCAACCUUUAUUUUUUAACUCUUUGUCUGAAAAAUAUUAUGAAUAAACAAUUCAAAAUACAACUUUCAACAACGGAUCUCUUGGCUCUCGCAUCGAUGAAGAACGCAGCGAAAUGCGAUACGUAAUGUGAAUUGCAGAAUUCAGUGAAUCAUCGAAUCUUUGAACGCAUAUUGCGCUCUUUGGUAUUCCGAAGAGCAUGCUUGUUUGAGUAUCAGUAAACACCUCAAAGCUUUUGGAUUUUUUAAUCGAAAAGCUUUGGACUUGAGCAAUCCCAACACCAAUCUUUUUGAGAUCGGUGGCGGGUUGCUUGAAAUGCAGGUGCAGCUGGACAUUCUCCUGAGCUAAAAGCAUAUUCAUUUAGUCCCGUCAAACGGAUUAUUACUUUUGCUGCAGCUAACAUAAAGGGAGUUUGACCGUAUUGGCUGACUGAUGCAGGAUUUCACAAGGGUCGGCAACGAUUCUUGUUAAACUCGAUCUCAAAUCAAGUAAGACUACCCGCUGAACUUAAGCAUAUCAAUAAGCGGAGGAAAAGAAACUAACAAGGACUCCCCUAGUAACGGCGAGUGAAGCGGGAUGAGCUCAAAUUUAAAAUCUGGCUGGUUUACUAGUCCGAAUUGUAGUUUAUAGAAGCGUUUUCGGUGGCAGCCUGGGUAUAAAUCCUUUGGAAUAGGGUAUCAUAGAGGGUGAGAAUCCCGUCUUUGACUCAGUGCAUGCUACUAUGUGAUACGUUUUCAAAGAGUCGAGUUGUUUGGGAAU